rnacentral:sRNA from 1 species
AAUUCUCCAGGAGACUUAGGGCCCCAACCCUCCCUCGGGCUGUUUAUCGUUGUGCCAGAUGCGCAGCGCAUUGUGUGACCCUGACUUAAGAUUCUAACUGUGCAAGAGGGAAAAAAACAGUGGAGAAGGCUGGGCUGGACCACGGGAAAGAGAUAGGAAAACGGAUAGGAAUAUAACGCACAGAGUCGGCUCGGCGUCCCUGGCAGUUAGGAAGACAGGUCCCUGGAGGGGCCUUGGCGGGUCUCAGCUCGCGGGAGUUCUGCGGUGUCGCUCCCAGUGCUAUCUGCAGGCAGGCCAGGUUCCUCUGCGCUCCGGAAAGCUGCGGCCCAGCGCGGACUAGUGAGGACCUCCACAGCUCCUGACAUUGCUAGGCGUGCUGUCGGCGUUUUCUCCCAGGCUCCGCCAUGCCGGCGGUGCUGGGUUUUGAAGGCAGCGCCAAUAAGAUUGGCGUGGGUGUGGUGCGGGAUGGCAAGGUGCUGGCGAACCCGCGGCGGACUUAUGUCACACCUCCGGGCACAGGAUUCCUUCCAGGUGAUACAGCCAGGCAUCACCGAGCUGUUAUCCUAGAUCUGCUGCAGGAGGCACUAACAGAGUCUGGAUUAACCUCCCAGGAUAUCGAUUGCAUUGCGUACACCAAGGGUAUGGCUGGGAGAGUGGUCAACGAUGGAGGAAUAUACCUGCAACCUGGCUAGGUCAAAAUAGCCAACACCUUACCUCUGCCACCAUCGCUACCCCUACCCCACCUCACGUCCCUUACUUCCCCCACCUAUUGUUUUUUUCCAGUCUCUAGGAUUAUAACUUCCAUUUCUCUCUCCCUAGGCCCUGGCAUGGGUGCCCCACUGGUUUCUGUGGCUGUUGUGGCCCGUACUGUGGCCCAGCUAUGGAAUAAGCCGUUGAUGGGUGUGAACCACUGUAUAGGCCACAUUGAGAUGGGCCGCCUCAUCACUGGAGCCACCAGCCCAACCGUGUUGUAUGUGAGUGGAGGAAACACGCAGGUAUUUAGAGUGCUC